AAAAGCCCACCAAGGCUAUGACGGGUAGCUGGUCUGAGAGGACGACCAGCCACACUGGAACUGAGACACGGUCCAGACACCUACGGGUGGCAGCAGUCGAGAAUUUUUCUCAAUGGGGGAAACCCUGAAGGAGCGACGCCGCGUGGAGGAUGAAGGUCUUCGGAUUGUAAACUCCUGUCAUUUGGGAACAAUGUGCAUGGGUUAACUGCCGAUGCAUUGAUAGUACCAGAAGAGGAAGAGACGGCUAACUCUGUGCCAGCAGCCGCGGUAAUACAGAGGUCUCAAGCGUUGUUCGGAUUCAUUGGGCGUAAAGGGUGCGUAGGUGGCGAGGCAAGUCGGAUGUGAAAUCCCGGAGCUCAACUCCGGAACUGCAUUCGAUACUGCUUUGCUUGAGUACUGGAGAGGAGAUUGGAAUUUACGGUGUAGCAGUGAAAUGCGUAGAUAUCGUAAGGAAGACCAGUGGCGAAGGCGAAUCUCUGGACAGUUACUGACACUGAGGCACGAAGGCCAGGGGAGCAAACGGGAUUAGAUACCCCGGUAGUCCUGGCAGUAAACGGUGCGCGUUUGGUGUGGGAGGAUUCGACCCCUUCUGUGCCGGAGCUAACGCGUUAAACGCGCCGCCUGGGGAGUACGGUCGCAAGAUUAAAACUCAAAGAAAUUGACGGGGGCCCGCACAAGCGGUGGAGUAUGUGGCUUAAUUCGAUGCAACGCGAAGAACCUUACCUGGCCUUGACAUGCAUCUCUAAGUCGGUGAAAGCCGGCGACUGGAGCAAUCCAGAAUUUGCACAGGUGCUGCAUGGCUGUCGUCAGCUCGUGUCGUGAGAU
rnacentral:rRNA from 1 species